CAUACCAUUUGCAAAAGUAGACAACCCAGGGUAUUCAAUAUGGGGUAUGUCCAGUCUUUUUUAGUAGCCACUUAGUCACAAACACUGGCCAGAUUUAGCAUUUAUAUUUGUUUGUGUGUUAAAAUGCAAAAAACAAUUAUGAACUUUGGCCAGUGUUUGUUACUAAGUGGCUACUAAAAAAAGACUGAACUUACCCUAUUUUCAAUACCUUGGGUUGUCUUCUUUUGCAAAUGGUAUG
rnacentral:miRNA from 1 species